CACAGGGGCCUUCCCUGCAGCAAACCGAAACUGAAACAAAACACCCCAGAAACCCAUGCAAGCCCUGGGAGGCUGUGGGCUGAUGGAUGUCCUGGGCUCGAGUCCCAGCCCUGGCCCUGUUGGGGGCCGAACAAGCCUGGACUGACAGGCUUGGGCUCUCCUCUCUUCACCUGCCAUGACUCCUGCUGCCAGGGACACCAAGGUGAAGAAAUGAGCCAUAGAGAAGGACUUGCCCAAGAUCACACAGCAGGCAGAGCCGGGACAUGAAACUAAGCAUUCUGGCUCCAGAGUCCACGUUUUUAACUCAACGGAAUACUCAGCAAUGGCUGAGUCUACGCCCUGUCGUCCCCUCCUGGGUCUCACAGAAUGGAAAUAAAUGUCUCAACUCAAAGACCAACUUCUCCCCUUCUUUCUUAAUCUAU
rnacentral:lncRNA from 10 species